rnacentral:rRNA from 1 species
CCCUUAGAUGUUCUGGGCCGCACGCGCGCUACACUGAUGCAUUCAACGAGCCUAUCCUUGACCGACAGGUCCGGGUAAUCUUUGAAUCUGCAUCGUGACGGGGAUAGAUUAUUGCAAUUAUUAAUCUUCAACGAGGAAUGCCUAGUAGGCGCAAGUCAUCAGCUUGCGUCGAUUACGUCCCUGCCCUUUGUACACACCGCCCGUCGCUCCUACCGAUUGGGUGUGCUGGUGAGAUGUUCGGAUCGGCCGUUUGUCGCGGUUUCCGCGUCAUGUGGCUGAGAAGUUCAUUAAACCCUCCCACCUAGAGGAAGGAGAAGUCGUAACA